GCAACAGCUCAGAUUUGGAAUCUGGCCCCCAGGGCCCGAGUUGUAAUCUGGAGAGGAUGUUUCUGGCGCGGCGCCUUCCGAGUUCCCUGGAACGGGACGCCGGAGAGGGUGAGAGCCCCGUACGGUUGGACGCCAAGCCUUUGUGAAGCUCCUUCGACGAGUCGAGUAGUUUGGGAAUGCUGCUCAAAAUGGGAGGUAAAUUUCUUCUAAAGCUAAAUACCGGCCAGAGACCGAUAGCGCACAA
rnacentral:rRNA from 1 species